AAUAAGUGAUGGUUUAUCAGUGUUGUAUAUCUAUCAUGCUUGUUACAUUAUUUGUCUACAUCUGGUUCCCUUAUUUUGUUUGUACCAGAGGAUUUCAACCUUCAUGCUAAAAGAUAUAAACCCAUAGGGUAGGCAUUAAUUGGGUCAUUUGCACAAGGGUGUCAAGGAUGUGGGAUUACCGUGGAGGCACAGACGAUGGUCAAAUACAUCAUGUUGAUCUUGUGUUGCUUGAUGCUGAGGGAACUCCAAUGUAGGAUGAAAUUGGACCAGACAAUAUUGAAUCUAAAAAGCCUUUGCUUGUAGAGGGAAUGGUGUACACGCUUAAGAGGUUUAGAGUUCUGAAAUCUAAGCCUACCUACAGGCCUAUUGAAUCAGAGUUCAUGAUUGACAUCACCUAUCAUACCUUGAUAGAGGAAAAGAAUGAGUUUUUGGCUGAUUUUAUGUUGUAUACUUAUAGUGACGAAGUUUGCUGAUUUGCCCAUGCUUGUUGGUGAAACUAGGCGUUUCAUUGGUUUGUGCCUUCCAAUCCUUUGAAGUCUCUAAAUAUGAUAGAGUUGAUAGGUCUGUGAUGUGUAGUUAUACCACUGCAUACUUACCUGAUCCCACCCAUGUGCUAGAUGUUAUUGGGAUAAUCAUAGAAAUCUCUAAGCUAACCACCGUUUAGCUUCAUAGUCAGACGAGGCCUACAAUUCGAAGGACAAUUACAUUGAGAGAUCCAAGCAACUAUGAGAUGAAUUUGUUUUUAUGGGGUCAGAGAGCUUCUGAGUUUGAUGCUAAUGAGGUGUGUGCACUUGGCCAGGACCGUCCAAUCAUUGUUAUCUUUGUUGGUAUGCUUAUGAAG